rnacentral:rRNA from 1 species
AGAGACAGCAGUAGCCGCGGUAAUACGAAGGGGGCUAGCGUUGUUCGGAAUUACUGGGCGUAAAGGGCGCGUAGGCGGCCAUUCAAGUUAGAUGUGAAAGCCCUGGGCUCAACCUAUGAAUUGCAUUUGAUACUGUUUGGCUUGAGUUCGGGAGAGGUGAGUGGAAUUCCCAGUGUAGAGGUGAAAUUCGUAGAUAUUGGGAAGAACACCAGUGGCGAAGGCGGCUCACUGGACCGACACUGACGCUGAGGCGCGAAAGCGUGGGGAGCAAACAGGAUUAGAUACCCCCGUAGUCCCUGUCUCUUAUAC